GGGCUUUAAACUAAGAAAGUCAAGUGGAAAUGUAGCAGAAGUGAGAUGCAGCACCAAAAGAGGAAGCUGCAGUCAUCGUGUCACCGUUAUUCUGUUAUUUAUGCAAGGCCACCAAGCAAACAGAGAACAAACAGUAGAAGAGGCACUCAGAUAUACAUCAGUAACGUACAGUACAACCCUGAUACCUUACAGGAUAUGCUUAGUAAUGGGUAGACAGUUCUUAUGACUCUUAUGGAAUUGCAUGAGCUCUAUGCACUUACAGUACACUCUUGAAAAUCAUUAUUUUCACUUUUCAGUGUUUGUCUGUUUUGAAAAAGCACACACCUCUGAUAGUUUCCAACACAGUGCACGGUCACAGCCUCAUGUGUUAUUCCAAUGUGUUCGGUCAGCAACUUGAUGCACAAAUGUGCUAAAAUGUAGGCCUGUUCUUUUUCAACAACAACAAAAAAAACUUCAUGCCUCACAGUAGGCAAAUGAAAACAGCUCAUCCUACAGAUAUUCAGUUGCUGUUCUCAGUUCUCUGCAUUUUGAGGGCCCCUAAAUUUCCUGGUCUGCAAUUUUCUGCUUGUGGCUGCAGACCGAAUGGACCUCUACUCUGACACUUGCCUUGCUGCUCUUUUGGUAACCCAACAAAGAUGAGCCUCUAUUUACCUUUCUUUAGUACUGCCUGCCAUCUUGAUCUUAUCUGUGAAAUGUCAGAAAAUAAAUACUUAAAAACACUGGAUGCUCUAUAUGUAGACUUUUAAAACUUGGAGGAGGUAAACUGGGUUUUGUGACCUGACGUGGCAGUUGUAUUGAAGCUUCUGUAUUGCAGAACUGCUGGUGUAUUGGUAACACUGUCUUGGCUUUCUUGGCUGAUGUUAACAGGAGCAGUAAACAGUAGUCAGAGUACAGCUAUCCAUAUCCAUGACAUCAGUGACAGUAUUACAAAAGCAGCCACAGUCAGGUCACUAAGCACAUCUACAGCCACAGCUGUGCUCACAGCCAGUGGCUACCUUAGCCUCAGGAAAGGAGCAACAAA